GGCCAGUAGCCAGCCCACAGGCCUACAGCAAGCCACAGCCUGCCAGCCGCAGCCUGCCAGCCGCAGUCAGCAAGCCCACAGCCUGCCGGCAGUAGCCAGCAAGCCCACAGCCUGCCAGCUGCAGCCAGCAAGCCCACAGACUGCCAGCCAGCAACAGUAAUUAAGGUAAGAGGAGCCAACUUGGCUUAGGUAUCAGCGAGCUAUGUUGUGUUGCUAUAUUGUGAAU